rnacentral:rRNA from 1 species
GAUCCUGGCUCAGGACGAACGCUGGCGGCGUGCCUAACACAUGCAAGUCGAACGGAGAAUCAGGAGCUUGCUCCUGAAUCUUAGUGGCGGACGGGUGAGUAACGCGUGAGUAACCUGCCUUUCAGAGGGGGAUAACGUUCUGAAAAGAACGCUAAUACCGCAUGAGACUACAGAGCUGCAUGGCUCGGUGGUCAAAGGAGCAAUCCGCUGAAAGAUGGACUCGCGUCCGAUUAG